UCAAGCUAAUAAGAGCACAGGGUGGAUGCCCAGGCACCAAACGCCGAAGAAAGACGUGGCAAGCUGCGAAAAGUCACGGGGAACCGCAAGCAGGUAUUGAUCCGUGAACGUCUGAAUGGGGAAACCCGGCGGGUUAACAGCCCGUCACUAUUAACUGAAUCAAUAGGUUAAUAGGGGGAACGCGGGGAACUGAAACAUCUCAGUACCCGUAGGAAGAGAAAAUAAAGAAUGAUUUCCUAAGUAGCGGCGAGCGAACGGGAAAGAGGCCAAACCGAAGGGCUUGCUCUUCGGGGUUGUGGAUCAGCAAAAAGGACGGAAGACCUUAGCAGAAGAGGAUUGGAAAGUCCCGCCAGAGAGGGUAAAAGCCCCUUACGCGAAAAGGUCAAACGACGAGCUGACACCAGAGUACCGCAGGACACGAGAAAUCCGGUGGGAAGCCGGGAGGACCACCUCCCAAGCCUAAAUACGAAUUGGUGACCGAUAGCGCAUAGUACCGUGAGGGAAAGGUGAAAAGAACCCCGGGAGGGGAGUGAAAAAGAACCUGAAACCCUGUGUUUACAAGCAGUGAAAGUGCGAGCAAGGCACGAUCACGUACUUUUUGUAGAACGGACCGGCGAGUUACGUUAUGCAGCAAGGUUAAGAACUGAAGGUUCGGAGCCGAAGCGAAAGCGAGUCUGAAUAGGGCGAUAGUUGCAUGACGUAGACCCGAAACCGGGUGACCUAUCCAUGAGCAGGUUGAAGUGGAGGUAAAGCUCCAUGGAGGACCGAACCAGACGUCUGUUGAAAAAGGCGGGGAUGACUUGUGGAUAGGGGAGAAAUUCCAAUCGAACCCGGAGAUAGCUGGUUCUCCUCGAAAUAGCUUUAGGGCUAGCCUCAUGGAUCAUUGGUGGGGGUAGAGCACUGAAUGUGCGCGGGGGCCACAAAGCCUACCAAACGCUAUCAAACUACGAAUACCAUACAAUGCAGACCAUGGGAGUCAGUCCGCGAGAGAUAAGUUCCGCGGGCAAAAGGGGAACACCCCAGAUCAACCGCUAAGGUCCCCAAGUUCACGUUAAGUGGAGAAGGAUGUGGAAUUGCACAGACAACCAGGAUGUUGGCUCAGAAGCAGCCACACAUUUAAAGAGUGCGUAAUAGCUCACUGGUCGAGUGAUUGUGCGCCGAAGAUGUCCGGGGCUAAACGUGACACCGAAGCGAUGGGUGCGUCUGAAGAAGAUGCGCGGUAGAGGAGCAAUGUGCAGAGGCAGAAGCCGUAUCGAGAGGCACGGUGGACACUGCACAAGAGAGAAUGCCGGUAUGAGUAGCGAGAGGCAUGCGAGAAACAUGCCCGUCGAAAGCCCAAGGUUUCCUGGGGAAGGUUCAUCCGCCCAGGGUAAGUCGGGGCCUAAGCCGAGGACGGAAGUCGUAGGCGAUGGACAGCAGGUGUAGAUUCCUGCACUACCGAUGGAAUGAAGCAGUGACACAGAAGGAUAACUCGAGCAGGGUGAUGGUCAACCCUGUGCAAGCAUCAAGGUUGGGUUGUAGUGAAGUACGCAAUCCUAUAAGCUGAGGUGUGAUGCGGACCGAAAUUUCAGUAGGGAAGCGAGUGAGUUCACGCUGGCGAGAAAAGCUGCUAGUACAUCCAAAGGUACCCGUACCGGAAACCGACGCAGGUGGGCGAGGAGAGAAUCCUGAGACGAACGGGAGAACCCUUGUUAAGGAACUCGGCAAAAUGACCCCGUAACUUCGGGAUAAGGGGUGCCUGCGAGAGCAGGCCGCAGAGAAUAGUCACAAGCGACUGUUUAGCAAAAACACAGGUAUCUGCGAAAGCGAGAGCUGACGUAUAGGUGCUGACACCUGCCCGGUGCUGGAAGGUUAAGGGAACAUGUUAGAGCAAUCGAAGCAUCGAACCGAAGCCCCAGUAAACGGCGGCCGUAACUAUAACGGUCCUAAGGUAGCGAAAUUCCUUGUCGGGUAAGUUCCGACCCG
rnacentral:rRNA from 1 species